rnacentral:rRNA from 1 species
AUUGAACGCUGGCGGCAUGCUUUACACAUGCAAGUCGAACGGCAGCGCGGGCUUCGGCCUGGCGGCGAGUGGCGAACGGGUGAGUAAUACAUCGGAACGUGCCCAGUAGUGGGGGAUAGCUCGGCGAAAGCCGGAUUAAUACCGCAUACGACCUGAGGGUGAAAGCGGGGGAUCUUCGAACCUCGCGCUAUGGGAGCGGCCGAUGGCAGAUUAGCUAGUUGGUGGGGUAAAGGCCUACCAAGGCGACGAUCUGUAGCUGGUCUGAGAGGACGACCAGCCACACUGGGACUGAGACACGGCCCAGACUCCUACGGGAGGCAGCAGUGGGGAAUUUUGGACAAUGGGCGAAAGCCUGAUCCAGCAAUGCCGCGUGUGUGAUGAAGGCCUUCGGGUUGUAAAGCACUUUUGGCGGGAACGAAAAGGACUGUGCCAAUACCACGGUUCGAUGACGGUACCCGCAGAAUAAGCACCGGCUAACUACGUG